CCACUAACCAGCGUUUUAGGGUUAUCCCCUUUCAAUCCUACAAUUCAACCGCCACCCUCGACCUCACAUCUUCUCUUUCCUCUACUCUCUCUUACGAGUCUCUAGUCUCACUCCUCAAAUUUUCAUUCUUUGCUUCCAAGUUAUGGUUAAUGAAUUUUUCUACUUUGUAUGAUCACAAGAUCUGAAAUCUUCAAUGCAGGAAUUAUCGCAAAUUUGCAGAUCUCGCCUAAUAUAUCAUGGAUGAUGAAGAAAUGGAAAAAGCAAUGAAGGAUUGUGAUUGUUCGUGAACUUUUCACACACUAACCUGGAUGUCAUGAAGCUAAUUAUCACCAGUACAUAAGAGGUUGAUUUGCGUUUAAGAAGGGUUGUUUUGCAGGAAGCCAAAUCCGGCUCAGCAGAUUGGGACUAAAAACUUGAGUAAAUGUAUAGGUGAUUUAUCCUUUACCUCUUGGAUUGCUUAUUAGUGCGAAUGCAUAGACACAAGACUACAAGAGGCCACCCAACCUAGAUAAGCUUAAGAGAUGGAUUCAUGAAAUUGCAUAGGUUUCCACUCCUGAACAGCUAUGGAGCAGAGUUUCGCCUGUUGAUCUGAGUCCUGAAAGGAGGCUGCCUUAAUAUCUAGUCAAGUAGUAUCUACAGAAGCAUUGCGGUGUCAAGUUAUUCCACUAAGAAUGUCUUACCAGAUCAGCUACACACUUGCAUAAGAAAGAAGCUGCAAAAUAUAUAAAAUGAUACGGAGUAGUAGUCUUCUUCUUUUUUCUUAAUCUAAAAAUGUUAUAGUAGAUAAGCAUAUUGUAUGUAAUUUUGAUUUGUUUAUCAGUGUUUAUGCGGUUAAUAUAAGAAAGAAUUAUGAAUAAUUUAACUUUAGAGAUGUAAUUUUUGGUACUUAACUAUAUCUAAAUAUAACUUGAUUUUUAGCA